rnacentral:piRNA from 1 species
AGAGGAAAGAGACUGUGCUGUGUGUAG